ACGUAGGGGGCAAGCGUUGUCCGGAUUCACUGGGUGUAAAGGGCGCGUAGGUGGAUUUGUAAGUCAGAGGUGAAAUCCUGCAGCUUAACUGUAGAACUGCCUUUGAUACUGUUAAUCUUGAGUUCAGAAGAGAGAAGCGGAAUUCCAGGUGUAGUGGUGAAAUGCGUAGAUAUCUGGCAGAACACCGAUGGCGAAGGCAGCUUACUGGAUUGUAACUGACGCUGAGGCGCGAAAGCGUGGGGAGCAAACAG
rnacentral:rRNA from 1 species